UGUGCAAUAGUGGUCUGAAGCUUUGAAUUAUUAGUUGUGGAAUAUGAAAAAGCAAGUCUGAAUAAGUAAGAUGAUAAGAAAUUUCUUGUUGAAAAUUUUGGCAAUUGUUAUGAUUAGGAUACGAGCGGAGUCUCUAUAAAGGGACAGGCAGUUGCGUUCCUUUUCCAAGGCCCAAGCUCCUGUUAAUUAUAUGCAUUUCCCUUAAUUUCAAAGCUACUAAGAUGGGCAAGAGUAUGAAGAUUUUCAUUGCCAUACUUACCUUCCUCAUCAUUUUGGUUAUGGCAGCGCUUCCAACAUCUGCUCGUCCACUUCAAAAACCCGACAGUUGCAUAGAUGCAUGUCCAAGUCCAUCACUACCCGAAGGACCAGGAAAGCGCAGAUAGAUGAACAAUAAAAGUACGGAGACUGCUAAUUAGUUAAGAAGCUCAAGUAAAAAGUAUAAUCCUGCAAAGGAGGAAGAUUCAAGAUAUAAAUACGUGGAUUCUAAUAUUUUAUAUAUGAAUUUUACUAAAUAUUGUAUUUUAAAUUGACAAUAAAUUGAAUUUAAGCAAAAUUACGAGCAUGUGAAGGAUGCUGCCCAUUGUUUCUUUUGUUUGUUUCUGUUGGACUUCAAUGGUUAAGAGAGUUGCAUUCUCUCUUUUUUGGUGUUGACAUAGAUAACACCAGGAGGAUAUAUAACCUAGUUCUAUAAUAAAUUGCUUUACCCUUCACUUCA